rnacentral:rRNA from 1 species
UACAGGGGAUGCAAGCGUUAUCCGGAAUUAUUGGGCGUAAAGCGUCCUGAGGUGGCUUACCCAGUCGACUGUGAAAGCUCAAGGCUCAACCUUGAAACGGCAGUCGAAACUUGUAAGCUUGAGUACGGUAGAGGCAGAGGGAAUUCCCGGAGGAGAGGUGAAAUUCGUAGAUAUCGGGAGGAAGGCCAAAGGCGAAAGCACUCUGCUGGGCCGAUUACUGACACUGACAGACGAAAGCUAGGGGAGCGAAAGGG